AUUGAACGCUGGCGGCAUGCUUUACACAUGCAAGUCGAACGGUAACAGGCCUUCGGGUGCUGACGAGCGGCGCACGGGUGAGUAAUGCAUCGGAACGUACCCAGAGGUGGGGGAUAACGCAGCGAAAGCUGUGCUAAUACCGCAUGUGAUCUGAGGAUGAAAGCGGGGGACCGAGCAGCAAUGUUUGGCCUCGCGCCUUUGGAGCGGCCGAUGUCGGAUUAGCUAGUUGGUGGGGUAAAGGCCUACCAAGGCGACGAUCCGUAGCUGGUCUGAGAGGACGACCAGCCACACUGGGACUGAGACACGGCCCAGACUCCUACGGGAGGCAGCAGUGGGGAAUUUUGGACAAUGGGCGCAAGCCUGAUCCAGCAAUGCCGCGUGCGGGAAGAAGGCCUUCGGGUUGUAAACCGCUUUUGGCAGGAACGAAACGGUGUCCGCUAAUACCGGGCGCUAAUGACGGUACCUGCAGAAUAAGCACCGGCUAACUACGUG
rnacentral:rRNA from 1 species